GUUGUCUUCCCACCUCAGACUCCCAAGUAGCUGGGACCACAGGAGGAAAUCUCUUCACUGCUGGCACUGACAAUGGAAGACUGAGGGUGCCCGGGAUCCUUCACCCCCACAUCCAGUGAGUCCACGGAACCCAGGGUAACUGGGAUGGUAUCUGAUGAUAGCAAAUUGGAGUCAGUGUUAGCAAGACUCUCCCACUUGGAAAGACAAAAUAGUGUAUAGUCAUUCACACUGUGAACUCUAUUUCCAAGAAGAAAUGCAGAAACUUAACAGGAAAACGGAAAUCCACCAAUUCUCUGAAAGAAGCUGCAUGCUGCAGCCUACAUUGUAAGAUUGCUGUUGAAUAUCUUUAAUAUAUCAAAACCUGCAAGGUGCUAGACAUACAAGAAAAAAUCCAAAUCUGUUGUUCUCCUUGUCUUGGAGCUGACCCUUUCCAGCAGAUGAUAUCACCUCUAAGAGAUGGGAGUCUCACUGUUUUGCCCAAGCUGG
rnacentral:lncRNA from 1 species